GAUGAACGCUGGCGGCGUGCCUAAUACAUGCAAGUCGAGCGAACAGAUGAGGAGCUUGCUCCUCUGACGUUAGCGGCGGACGGGUGAGUAACACGUGGAUAACCUACCUAUAAGACUGGGAUAACUUCGGGAAACCGGAGCUAAUACCGGAUAAUAUAUUGAACCGCAUGGUUCAAUAGUGAAAGACGGUUUUGCUGUCACUUAUAGAUGGAUCCGCGCCGCAUUAGCUAGUUGGUAAGGUAACGGCUUACCAAGGCAACGAUGCGUAGCCGACCUGAGAGGGUGAUCGGCCACACUGGAACUGAGACACGGUCCAGACUCCUACGGGAGGCAGCAGUAGGGAAUCUUCCGCAAUGGGCGAAAGCAUGACGGAGCAACGCCGCGUGAGUGAUGAAGGUCUUCGGAUCGUAAAACUCUGUUAUUAGGGAAGAACAAAUGUGUAAGUAAAUAUGCACGUCUUGACGGUACCUAAUCAGAAAGCCACGGCUAACUACGUG
rnacentral:rRNA from 1 species